rnacentral:lncRNA from 1 species
ACAGAAAGAGCCAGGAUCCCAGACUGUGCUGAAGCUUCAUGAGACCUCUCCUCGUCUGUGCACGAAAGAGGAGCCGGACACAGAGUGUCCAGCCGACUCUGGAGCCCAGGCUGUUGCUUCCCGGUCUGGUGGUGAGUCCUCCAUUGUCUGAUGUGGGUAAGUCCAAGACCAAGGAGCCAGCAGAUUCAGAGUCCAGGGAGGGCUGUUCCUGAUUUGCAGAUGGCGCCUUCUCUUUAUGUCUUCACAAGAUUGUGAAGCCUGUAGCUUGGAAGAUACAGGACAUAGGUGAAAGUGUUUGUACCAUUCAUUUAAAGGCAUAAAUGUCCAAUGGGGCCAUCUUGUGAUACAUGCACUGUCACAGGAAAAGUUUCCAGGAAAAGUCAAGCCAGGGCUUCACAGAAGAUCAAAAGAAAGAGACAAGGAGAAGCUAAGUGUAUUAGUCAGGAUUCUCUAAGGGACAGAACUAAUAGAAUAUAUAUACACACACAAACACACACACACACACAUAUAUAUACAUAUAAAUAAAAGGGAGUUUAUUAAGGAGUAUUAACUCACACAAUCACAAGGUCCCACAACAGGCCGGGCCAUCUGUAAGCUGAGGAACAAGGAAGCCAGUCUGAAUCCCAAAGAUGACAAACUUGGAGUUCAAUGUUCAAGGGCAGGAAGCAUCCAGCACAGGAGAUAGAUGUAGGCUGGGAGGCUAAGCCAGUCAAGACUUUUCACGUUUUUCUGCCUGUUUCAUAUCCUAGCUGCAAUGGCAGCUGAUUAGAUGGUGCCCACCCAGAUUAAGGGUGGGUCUGCCUUUCCCAGCACACUGACUCAAAUGUUUAUCUCCUUUGGCAACACCCUCACAGACACACUCAGGAUUAAUAUUUUGCUUCCUUCCAUCCAAUCAAGUUGACACUCAGUAUUAACCAUCACACUAAGCUUGUUAUUUUAUAGAAAUGCUUGAAAACCAGAGAUAAAUGCAGCUACAAAUGAACGAUGACUCUGCGUUUUCCUUGUAUAUAUAAAGAUCAACAAUAACACUUAGGUCAUGAAACCCACCUACUUUACAGAUCAUUAUGGAAAUAAUACACUGCUUCAGCAAUGGAGAAACAAUCAUCCAUAUUUAUGCAAGAACUAAAUUCAAGUUUGAAAGCUUGCUUUGAGCUUGAAGAUAUAAAACAUGAUUCUGUGACAGUAAACAAUGUAUAACAAAUCUUACAGAAAUUUAUGUGAUUACUAAAAAAAAAUCAAUUCAUCAAUUCAAUAAACUGAGUACCGUAUUACUUUUCUAUUGCUUCUUUACCAAAUAAAUACAAGCUUUGCAGUUUAAAACAACAGAAAUUUAAUUUUUUAUAGUUCUGAGGGUCAGUAACCUAAAACUGAUCUUAUGAAAUAAAGUUAAAUCUUGGGGAUAUGGGUGUGGACAGGGCUGGUUUCUUCUGGGGCUCUGAUGGUAAAAUUUGCUUCCUUGCCUUUUCUCCUUCUAGGGAGCCUGCAUUCCCUGCCUCCUAGUGGCUUCCUCCCAUCACUCGAACCUCUGUUUCCAGCCUCAGGAUUCCUAAUGUGACUCUGACGUUUCAUCUCCUGUUUAUGAGGACGCUUCUGAUUGCUAAGAUACAUACGGUGACACUAUGGAAGUUAACUUGAAGAUUAAAACCCUGAAAAAUAGAAAGAAUCUUCUAUGGUAUAUCACAGAGAUUACAAGGGCCUGAAUUAGAGUGGUGACAUUUUCAUCCCUUGAUAAUGGAUUAAAAACAAUUGAAUGAAGCUUUGGGGUGAACUUACAGGACUUUAUGGCAAACUUCAUAUGGGAGACUUACAUGAAGGGAGGAAGAAAUGCGUAUGUGUACAAAAUCAUGUGGAUAGAUGUGCAUUUGUGGGUAUCUGUGAAUACAAAUACACAAUUUUCAGACAGAAGUAGUAUAAGAAAAGGAAAUCAAACAAAGUCAAACAUUUUAAGUGUAGCUCUUGGUGCACUUUAAAAAAUUAUUAAAUUGAAGCUGUAGUUUAUUCUCAUCAUUGUCAUCCUAUAUUAGUGAUUUUCUUUAGCUUUUGAAAUUAAAUUCAUAAUAUUACAAUUCUGAAUUCCUAUGUAUGUAUAUGUUAAGAAUCCUUUAAUGGGACUGACUUUCAUAUGUGUGUGGCUGCAUUCUGAAAUAGUUGUCUAGUUGAUACAUAAAGCAGUGAGUGCUAUUUGUAAGAUAUAUUUAUAUUUAAAGUCUUCAUACAGUUAUUAACUAGCUCCAAUAUUACUGAAAUGAUUUCUCCAAAUAUCCUAUAUUUAAUUAUCAUGCUGGCAAAUUUAUUAUAACUUUGGUUUGAAAAAAUAUAUUAUGAUACAUAUCCACUGACUAAUGCCACCUAUCUGCUUUCCUGAAUUCAAAGUUUAUGAUUAUUUCCAUAAAUGUAUUUAUCAGUAUAAUCAAAAAUAAAAAUAACAUAAAUAAAAUUUCUGUGAGCUUUACACAUCUAAUGUGCAAUGAUUAUAAAUCUGGUCUUAUACACAUGGUAAAAAACAUUUAAGUCACAAAAGUAUACUUCAGGUUUAAGUAUAAAUCUGAAAUUAAAUUCUCAGAUUUAAGUAUAAUUUUUAAAAGCUUUGGUAAUUGUGUCCCUACUGUUAAAUUUAUUGUAUAGUUUUCACUAUAUCAUCUGACCUUUUAAUGUUUCUAGAAACUUGUGUGAGGUCUCAUACUUCAUGGCUAAUAAAGUAUUUAUUUUUCUAUUCUUAAAAAAAAAAAAAAAAAAAA